UACGUAGGUGGCAAGCGUUGUCCGGAUUUACUGGGCGUAAAGAGCGCGCAGGCGGUCAGAUAAGUCGAAUGUGAAAGCCCCCGGCUCAACUGGGGAGGGUCAUUCGAUACUGAUCGACUCGAAGGCAGGAGAGGGUAGUGGAAUUCCCGGUGUAGUGGUGAAAUGCGUAGAUAUCGGGAGGAACACCAGUGGCGAAGGCGACUACCUGGCCUGUUCUUGACGCUGAGGCGCGAAAGCUAGGGGAGCAAACGGG
rnacentral:rRNA from 1 species